rnacentral:rRNA from 2 species
CUGGUAUUGAUUGGUGCUUGCAUCAUGAUUUACAUUUGAGUGAGUGGCGAACUGGUGAGUAACACGUGGGAAACCUGCCCAGAAGCGGGGGAUAACACCUGGAAACAGAUGCUAAUACCGCAUAACAACUUGGACCGCAUGGUCCGAGCUUGAAAGAUGGCUUCGGCUAUCACUUUUGGAUGGUCCCGCGGCGUAUUAGCUAGAUGGUGGGGUAACGGCUCACCAUGGCAAUGAUACGUAGCCGACCUGAGAGGGUAAUCGGCCACAUUGGGACUGAGACACGGCCCAAACUCCUACGGGAGGCAGCAGUAGGGAAUCUUCCACAAUGGACGAAAGUCUGAUGGAGCAACGCCGCGUGAGUGAAGAAGGGUUUCGGCUCGUAAAACUCUGUUGUUAAAGAAGAACAUAUCUGAGAGUAACUGUUCAGGUAUUGACGGUAUUUAACCAGAAAGCCACGGCUAACUACGUGCCAGCAGCCGCGGUAAUACGUAGGUGGCAAGCGUUGUCCGGAUUUAUUGGGCGUAAAGCGAGCGCAGGCGGUUUUUUAAGUCUGAUGUGAAAGCCUUCGGCUCAACCGAAGAAGUGCAUCGGAAACUGGGAAACUUGAGUGCAGAAGAGGACAGUGGAACUCCAUGUGUAGCGGUGAAAUGCGUAGAUAUAUGGAAGAACACCAGUGGCGAAGGCGGCUGUCUGGUCUGUAACUGACGCUGAGGCUCGAAAGUAUGGGUAGCAAACAGGAUUAGAUACCCUGGUAGUCCAUACCGUAAACGAUGAAUGCUAAGUGUUGGAGGGUUUCCGCCCUUCAGUGCUGCAGCUAACGCAUUAAGCAUUCCGCCUGGGGAGUACGGCCGCAAGGCUGAAACUCAAAGGAAUUGACGGGGGCCCGCACAAGCGGUGGAGCAUGUGGUUUAAUUCGAAGCUACGCGAAGAACCUUACCAGGUCUUGACAUACUAUGCAAAUCUAAGAGAUUAGACGUUCCCUUCGGGGACAUGGAUACAGGUGGUGCAUGGUUGUCGUCAGCUCGUGUCGUGAGAUGUUGGGUUAAGUCCCGCAACGAGCGCAACCCUUAUUAUCAGUUGCCAGCAUUAAGUUGGGCACUCUGGUGAGACUGCCGGUGACAAACCGGAGGAAGGUGGGGAUGACGUCAAAUCAUCAUGCCCCUUAUGACCUGGGCUACACACGUGCUACAAUGGAUGGUACAACGAGUUGCGAACUCGCGAGAGUAAGCUAAUCUCUUAAAGCCAUUCUCAGUUCGGAUUGUAGGCUGCAACUCGCCUACAUGAAGUCGGAAUCGCUAGUAAUCGCGGAUCAGCAUGCCGCGGUGAAUACGUUCCCGGGCCUUGUACACACCGCCCGUCACACCAUGAGAGUUUGUAACACCCAAAGUCGGUGG